rnacentral:rRNA from 1 species
AGGCCCUAUGGGGCGCAGCAGGCGAGAAACCUUUGCAAUGUGCGAAAGCACGACAAGGUUAAUCCGAGUGUCUCCUGCUAAAGGAGUCUUUUGUCAGUUGUAGAAUCACUGGUGAAUAAGGGGUGGGCAAGUUCUGGUGUCAGCCGCCGCGGUAAAACCAGCACCUCGAGUGGUCAGGAGGUUUAUUGGGCCUAAAGCAUCCGUAGCCGGUUGCAUAAGUUUUCGGUUAAAUCUAUGCGCUUAACGUAUAGGCCGCCGAAAAUACUGUGCAGCUAGGGAGUGGGAGAGGUACACGGUACUCGAUAGGAAGGGGUAAAAUCCUUUGAUCUAUUGAAGACCACCUGUGGCGAAGGCGGUGUACCAGAACACGUUCGACGGUGAGGGAUGAAAGCUGGGGGAGCAAACCGGAUUAGAUACCCGGGUAGUCCCAGCUGUAAACGAUGCAGACUCGGUGAUGCAUUGGCUUGUGGCCAAUGCAGUGCCGCAGGGAAGCCGUUAAGUCUGCCGCCUGGGAAGUACGUACGCAAGUAUGAAACUUAAAGGAAUUGGCGGGGGAGCACCACAAGGGGUGAAGCCUGCGGUUCAAUUGGAGUCACGCU